rnacentral:rRNA from 1 species
GACGAACGCUGGCGGCGUGCUUAACACAUGCAAGUCGAACGGAAAGGCCCUGCUUUUGUGGGGUGCUCGAGUGGCGAACGGGUGAGUAACACGUGAGUAACCUGCCCUUGACUUUGGGAUAACUUCAGGAAACUUGGGCUAAUACCGGAUAGGAGCUCCUGCUGCAUGGUGGGGGUUGGAAAGUUUCGGCGGUUGGGGAUGUACUCGCGGCUUAUCAGCUUGUUGGUGGGGUAGUGGCUUACCAAGGCUUUGACGGGUAGCCGGCCUGAGAGGGUGACCGGCCACAUUGGGACUGAGAUACGGCCCAGACUCCUACGGGAGGCAGCAGGGGGGAAUAUUGCACAAUGGGCGGAAGCCUGAUGCAGCAACGUCGCGUGCGGGAUGACGGCCUUCGGGUUGUAAACCGCUUUCGCCUGUGACGAAGCGUGAGUGACGGUAAUGGGUAAAGAAGCACCGGCUAACUACGUG